rnacentral:rRNA from 1 species
GAUGAACGCUGGCGGCGUGCCUAAUACAUGCAAGUCGAGCGAACAGAUGCGGAGCUUGCUCCUCUGACGUUAGCGGCGGACGGGUGAGUAACACGUGGAUCACCUACCUAUAAGACUGGGAUAACUUCGUGAAACCGGUGCUAAUACCGGUUACUCUAUUGAACCGCAUGGUUCAAUAGUGAAAGACGGUUUUGCUGUCACUUAUAGAUGGAUCCGCGCCGCACUAGCUAGUUGGUAAGGUAACGGCUUACCAAGGCAACGAUGCGUAGCCGACCUGAGAGGGUGAUCGGCCACACUGGAACGGAGACACGGUCCAGACUCCUACGGGAGGCAUCAGUAGGCAAUCUUGCGCAAUGGGCGAAAGCCUGACGGAGCAACGCCGCGUGAGUGAUGAAGGUCUUCGGAUCGUAAAACUCUGUUAUUAGGGAAGAACAAAUGGGUAAGUAACUAUGCACGUCGUGACGGUACCUAAUCAGAAAGCCACGGCUAACUACGUG